rnacentral:misc_RNA from 1 species
UGGUUCUGGCAUCGAUGAAGAACGCAGCGAAAUGCGAUAAGUAAUGUGAAUUGCAGAAUUCAGUGAAUCAUCGAAUCUUUGAACGCACAUUGCGCCCUCCGGCAUCCCGGGGGGCAUGCCUGUUCGAGCGUCAUUGCAACCCUCAAGCCCCGCUUGGCCUUGGGCACCACCGGCGAUGGUGGGCCCUAAACCCAGUGGCGGUGCCAGCCGGCUCCAAGCGCAGUAACUCUCCUCGCUACGGAUGCCCAGCUGGCGCCCGCCAGCAACCCCCAACCGCCUCAAGGUUGACCUCGGAUCAGGUAGGGAUACCCGCUGA